rnacentral:rRNA from 1 species
UACAGAGGGGGCAAGCGUUGUUCGGAAUUACUGGGCGUAAAGGGCGUGUAGGCGGCCUGCUAAGUCGAACGUGAAAUCCCCGGGCUCAACCCGGGAACUGCGUCCGAUACUGGUUGGCUUGAAUCCGGGAGAGGGAUGCGGAAUUCCAGGUGUAGCGGUGAAAUGCGUAGAUAUCUGGAGGAACACCGGUGGCGAAGGCGGCAUCCUGGACCGGCAUUGACGCUGAGGCGCGAAAGCCAGGGGAGCAAACGGG